rnacentral:rRNA from 1 species
UGGGGAAUUUUGGACAAUGGGCGCAAGCCUGAUCCAGCCAUGCCGCGUGCGGGAAGAAGGCCUUCGGGUUGUAAACCGCUUUUGUCAGGGAAGAAAUCUUCUGAGUUAAUACCUCGGGAGGAUGACGGUACCUGAAGAAUAAGCACCGGCUAACUACGUGCCAGCAGCCGCGGUAAUACGUAGGGUGCAAGCGUUAAUCGGAAUUACUGGGCGUAAAGCGUGCGCAGGCGGUUUUGUAAGACAGAGGUGAAAUCCCCGGGCUCAACCUGGGGACUGCCUUUGUGACUGCAAGGCUUGAGUGCGGCAGAGGGGGAUGGAAUUCCGCGUGUAGCAGUGAAAUGCGUAGAUAUGCGGAGGAACACCGAUGGCGAAGGCAAUCCCCUGGGCCUGCACUGACGCUCAUGCACGAAAGCGUGGGGAGCAAACAGGAUUAGAUACCCUGGUAGUCCACGCCCUAAACGAUGUCAACUGGUUGUUGGGAAGGUUCCUUCUCAGUAACGUAGCUAACGCGUGAAGUUGACCGCCUGGGGAGUACGGCC